rnacentral:snRNA from 1 species
GGAUGUGAGGGCGAUCUGGCUGCAACAUCGGUCACCCCAUUGAUCGCCAGGGUUGCUUCGGCUGAUCUGGCUGGCUAGGCGGGUGUUCCCUUCCUCCAUCACCACUCCAUGUGUGCCCCUCCCGUAGCUGCGCCCUUGGUCGAAGAGGACAACCUUCACGGAAUAGAGGAAGACCGGUCUUCGGUCAAGGAUAUACGAGUAGCUGUGCUCCCCUGCUAGAACCUCCAAACAAGCAAAAACCUAGUUUUAAAAAUUAUCACUUAUCUCAAAGAAAGUUCAGUCAACAGACCAACGAAGUAAGAACAUCAAAUCCAGGAAGUGGAU